rnacentral:rRNA from 1 species
AAGCGCAUUAAUUUAACCAAACUAACCUUAGAAACAUCUUGAGGCUGAGUAACGGUGAGAGAAUAGCAACAGUUUUUGAUAAGUACCGAGAGGGAAAAAGUAACUUUCUAAAAAAUAGUUGGAAAAAACGUACUUUUUGCAUCACGGCCUGGCAAGAGAACUUCUAAUAUUUAGAUAUCUCGAAGACUGACGAGCUACCUUUCUUUGGCAUUUUAGGGCCUGAGUUUUUAGCUGUAAAUGUAGCAAAAUUUUAGUAAAAAUGAAAGGUAGCUACGAGAUGUUACUCGCGUCGGCGAUAGCUAGUUCUUCUGGAAAAACAUAUAAGUGUUGAAGAAAAUUUAGGAGCCAAAAAAGUCCUUCAAGCUCUUGUUUUAUCUUUAAUAUUUUCGAGGAUAAGCUUGAAAAUAUUGGGAAUAGCAUUUUAUAAAUAAGUUUCUUGAUGUAGGCCUGAAACCAGCCAACACACAUGAUUCUGUUAUAAGUCAAUACUAAAAAUCAAAAAAUUCUUCUAUCAGAGUUUCCCACCUAAAGAAGUAAAGGCUUCAACCGUGAAGCUUUACACAUAUGCUAGGAUGAGUAUUAAACAUUCGUUUUAUGAACACAGCAAAUAUGGUGUCCAUUAGAAAUAUAAAAAUUCAAUAAAAAAUGAGAGAAAGGAACUCGGCAAAAAAGUGCUUCGCCUGUUUACCAAAAACAUGGCUCCUUGAAGACUACACAUAAGGAGUCGGACCUGCCCAGUGAAAUAAUUUUAACGGCCGCGGUACUCUGACCGUGCAAAGGUAGCAUAAUCACUUGCCUUAUAAUUGAAGGCUGGUAUGAAUGGUUUGACGAAAGCACUUCUGUCUCUCUCUCAAUUUAUAAAAAUUAACUUUCAGGUGAAGAGGCCUGCUUAAAAUUGAAGGACGAGAAGACCCUGUCGAGCUUAAAGAGAAUGAGGAAAACUUUAUAUUUAGUAAAUAUAAGACCUCUUUUAUCUUUUAGUUGGGGCGACUAGGGAACAACUAAAGCUUCCCCUAUAUAUAAAAAUUUAUUUGUAAGGAUCCAGCAGCCUAAGAUUGCUGAUUGAAAGAAUUAGUUACCGCAGGGAUAACAGCAUAAUCUCUCUUGAGAGACCUUAUCGAAAGAGGGGGUUGUGACCUCGAUGUUGGACUAGGAUUUCCUAAGGGUGCAGAAGU